AACAGCCAAAAAUGCUAACUAUUAGGAAAUUAUAUUUAUGAAAAUUUCAAUUAUAUUUCCGAAAAAACAAGAAUAACAUGAACUUUUUACCGAUUUUUGUCCUUGUUGGAGCAAAUGCGCAAACCGUCGGUGGAGAAAUAGCAUAAAUUAAUGUAUAGAUUUUGAAUUAUUGAAGCAUAAACCAGUGCUAAAUGCUUUUUAUAAUCAGGAGUCAUCAUUCGCAAAUAAUUUACAAUAAAUUACUAUCAAUGGAAGGAAUACUAAACAUGAAGAUGUAAUCCAAAUUUUCAACGAUAAAGACUAUUGACAGUUGUUGAAAGUCAAAGAUAAGACAGUGUGUUAGAAGACACAGUUAUCUAAAAAAAAACUUUAAAUGUAUAAAACGCAAAUAAAAACACCAUGAGUUCUGUUUU